AAUGAACGCUGGCGGCGUGCCUAACACAUGCAAGUCGGACGAGAAAGACUGUUUUCGGACGGUCGAGUAAAGUGGCGCACGGGUGAGUAGCGCGUAGGUAACCUACCCUUGUAUUGGGGAUAACUCCGCGAAAGCGGGGCUAAUACCGGAUACGAUCCUCACCUGGCGGGUGGGGAUGAAAGUGGGCCUCUCGGAGAAGCUCACGUACGGGGAUGGGCCUGCGUCCUAUCAGCUAGUUGGUGGGGUAAUGGCCUACCAAGGCGACGACGGGUAGCUGGUCUGAGAGGAUGAUCAGCCACACUGGCACUGGAACACGGGCCAGACUCCUACGGGAGGCAGCAGUGAGGAAUUUUGCGCAAUGGGAGCAAUCCUGACGCAGCAACGCCGCGUGGGUGAAGAAGGCCUCGGGUCGUAAGCCUGUCAGGUGGGAAGAAGGGUCUCGACAGGAAAGGGUUGGGAGUUUGACGGUACCGACCAGAGGAAGCACCGGCUAACUCCGUGCCAGCAGCCGAC
rnacentral:rRNA from 1 species